rnacentral:rRNA from 1 species
AGAUUGAACGCUGGCGGCAUGCCUUACACAUGCAAGUCGAACGGCAGCACGGGAGCAAUCCUGGUGGCGAGCGGCGAACGGGUGAGUAAUACAUCGGAACGUGCCCAAUCGUGGGGGAUAACGCAGCGAAAGCCGUGCUAAUACCGCAUAAGAUCUACGGAUGAAAGCAGGGGAUCGCAAGACCUUGCGCGAAUGGAGCGGCCGACGGCAGAUUAGGUAGUUGGUGAGGUAAGGCUCACCAAGCCUUCGAUCUGUAGCUGGUCUGAGAGGACGACCAGCCACACUGGGACUGAGACACGGCCCAGACUCCGU